AGAGUUACCAAAAUCAGGGGCUGCUAACCACUGAACAAUGUAUAACAUUUAACUCUU
rnacentral:tRNA from 1 species